GGACGAUGAUGCUUUUAGUUCUACACACGAGAUUUCUGUCCGAGCCUUCGGGCCCUGCGGACACCGAAACCUAAUUGAGUCC
rnacentral:snoRNA from 1 species